GGGUUGUGAGGUUAAGCGACUAAGCGUACACGGUGGAUGCCCUGGCAGUCAGAGGCGAUGAAGGACGUGCUAAUCUGCGAUAAGCGCCGGUAAGGUGAUAUGAACCGUUAUAACCGGCGAUUUCCGAAUGGGGAAACCCAGUGUGAUUCGUCACACUAUCAUUAACUGAAUCCAUAGGUUAAUGAGGCGAACCGGGGGAACUGAAACAUCUAAGUACCCCGAGGAAAAGAAAUCAACCGAGAUUCCCCCAGUAGCGGCGAGCGAACGGGGAGGAGCCCAGAGCCUGAAUCAGCAUGUGUGUUAGUGGAAGCGUCUGGAAAGGCGCGCGAUACAGGGUGACAGCCCCGUACACAAAAGCGCAUGUGCUGUGAGCUCGAUGAGUAGGGCGGGACACGUGGUAUCCUGUCUGAAUAUGGGGGGACCAUCCUCCAAGGCUAAAUACUCCUGACUGACCGAUAGUGAACCAGUACCGUGAGGGAAAGGCGAAAAGAACCCCGGCGAGGGGAGUGAAAAAGAACCUGAAACCGUGUACGUACAAGCAGUGGGAGCCCCACCACCAAAGCAUUCUCUGGUGUUGAAGGCCCUGCAAAGCAGCAUCGCGGUGGCGGAGCGUCGUUUGCGACGCCCAACACACAAAACAAGCGGUGAGUGCUUUGGGGUGGGGUGACUGCGUACCUUUUGUAUAAUGGGUCAGCGACUUAUAUUCUGUAGCAAGGUUAACCGCA
rnacentral:rRNA from 1 species